UCGGGUAUGGUGUAACGGCUAACAUUGCCGCCUCUCAGAUCUCAUGACUCAAAAAGUUCAUACCUGGCGCGCGGCAGCUCGGGGUUCGAUUCCCCGUACCCGAA